rnacentral:rRNA from 1 species
UUAGUGGCAGACGGGUGAGUAAUGCAUAGGAAUCUACCUAGUAGUAUGGGAUAGCCACUAGAAAUGGUGGGUAAUACUGUAUAAUCCCUGCGGGGGAAAGAUUUAUCGCUAUUAGAUGAGCCUAUGUUAGAUUAGCUAGUUGGUAGGGUAAAGGCCUACCAAGGCAGUGAUCUAUAGCUGGUCUGAGAGGAUGAUCAGCCACACUGGAACUGAGAUACGGUCCAGACUCCUACGGGAGGCAGCAGUGGGGAAUAUUGGACAAUGGGCGCAAGCCUGAUCCAGCUAUGCCGCGUGAGUGAGGAAGGCCUUAGGGUUGUAAAACUCUUUCAGUGGGGAAGAUAAUGACGGUACCCACAGAAGAAGUCCCGGCAAACUCCGUGCCAGCAGCCGCGGUAAUACGGAGGGGGCAAGCGUUGUUCGGAAUUAUUGGGCGUAAAGGGCAUGUAGGCGGUUCGGUAAGUUAAAGGUGAA